rfam:Anaerobacillus alkalilacustris strain DSM 18345 Ga0137925_104, whole genome shotgun sequence.
AGAGUCCUGAGGUGUUCGUAGGAUACUAUACGUUUUGAGCCAACACUUUUAAUAUGGGAGCUUGAAGUUUUAGCUUGGCGUGCAGGCCUUCUUGAAAGGAAGUACAAGAAGUUAAACAGGGCACCCACCUGCGAGAGCAGGUUCAAAACUAUGUUUUUACGGCACAUUGGGACUCUA